UACGUAGGGUGCGAGCGUUGUCCGGAAUUAUUGGGCGUAAAGAGCUCGUAGGCGGUCUGUUCGCGUCUGCUGUGAAAACCUAGGGCUUAACUCUGGGCGUGCAGUGGGUACGGGCAGGCUAGAGUGCGGUAGGGGAGACUGGAAUUCCUGGUGUAGCGGUGAAAUGCGCAGAUAUCAGGAGGAACACCGGUGGCGAAGGCGGGUCUCUGGGCAAUAACUGACGCUGAGGAGCGAAAGCGUGGGGAGCGAACAGG
rnacentral:rRNA from 1 species